rnacentral:rRNA from 15 species
UUGUCGGGUAAGUUCCGACCUGCAUGAAUGGUAUAACGACUUCUCUACUGUCUCCAAUAUACUCUUGGUGAAUUUGAAUUGCCCGUGAAGAUGCGGGCUAGUAGCAGCUAGACGGAAAGACCCCGUGCACCUUUACUAUAUUUUUAAGUUGUAAAAUUUUAAUUUUUGUGCAGAAUAGGUGGGAGUACUAUACGCUAAUGAGAUACCACUCUUUAAUUAGAUUUUUACUUAAUUUUGUGAAACAGCUUAUGAGUGGUAGUUUGACUGGGGCGGUCACCUCCCAAAAAGUACCGGAGGUGUGCAAAGGCAAUUUAAAGUAUAAGUUUACAUUAUAGCGUAAUGGUAUAUAAUUGCUUAACUGAAAGAUUAACAAAUCAAACAGAGAUAAUAUGUCGGCCAUAGUGAUCUGGUGAUUCUGUGUGGAAAGGUCAUCACUCAACGAAUAAAAGGUACGCCGGGGAUAACAGGCUAAUGAUUUUUGAGAGUCCAUAUCGACGAAAUAGUUUGGCACCUCGAUGUCGGCUC